UGCCAGCAGCCGCGGUAAUACGUACUGGGCGAACGUUAUUCGGAAUUACUGGGCGUAAAGCGCGCGUAGGCGGCUAUUUAAGUCAGAUGUGAAAGUCCACGGCUCAACCGUGGAAGUGCAUUUGAAACUGGAUGGCUUGAGUACUGGAGGGGGUGGUGGAAUUCCCGGUGUAGAGGUGAAAUUCGUAGAUAUCGGGAGGAAUACCGGUGGCGAAGGCGACCACCUGGCCAGAUACUGACGCUGAGGUGCGAAAGCGUGGGGAGCAAACAGGAUUAGAUA
rnacentral:rRNA from 1 species